CCCUUCUCAGGAUCUCACCUGGAGAGUUUCUGGUACUCUACCAAUCUCGGCUGCGGGAGGGAGAGUCAAGCAGAUGCGUACCCAUUCCAUUCCUAGCUUGGGCAGUAGCUAGUGAGUGGAAGGCAAACUGCUACAAGU